UACGAAGGGUGCAAGCGUUACUCGGAAUUACUGGGCGUAAAGCGUGCGUAGGUGGUUCGUUAAGUCUGUCGUGAAAGCCCCGGGCUCAACCCGGGAAUGGCGUUUGAAACUGGCAGGCUAGAGUUUGGCAGAGGGGGGUGGAAUUCCACGUGUAGCAGUGAAAUGCGUAGAGAUGUGGAGGAACACCGAUGGCGAAGGCAGCCCCCUGGGCCAAAACUGACGCUCAGGCACGAAAGCGUGGGGAGCAAACAGG
rnacentral:rRNA from 1 species